rnacentral:rRNA from 1 species
UACGUAGGGUCCGAGCGUUGUCCGGAAUUACUGGGCGUAAAGAGCUCGUAGGUGGUUUGUCGCGUUGUUCGUGAAAACUCACAGCUUAACUGUGGGCGUGCGGGCGAUACGGGCAGACUUGAGUACUGCAGGGGAGACUGGAAUUCCUGGUGUAGCGGUGGAAUGCGCAGAUAUCCGGAGGAACACCGGUGGCGAAGGCGGGUCUCUGGGCAGUAACUGACGCUGAGGAGCGAAAGCGUGGGGAGCGAACAGG